rnacentral:rRNA from 1 species
UGGGGAAUAUUGCACAAUGGGCGCAAGCCUGAUGCAGCAACGCCGCGUGAGGGACGACGGCCUUCGGGUUGUAAACCUCUUUUAGUAGGGAAGAAGCGAAAGUGACGGUACCUGCAGAAAAAAGCACCGGCUAACUACGUGCCAGCAGCCGCGGUAAUACGUAGGGUGCGAGCGUUGUCCGGAAUUAUUGGGCGUAAAGAGCUCGUAGGCGGUCUGUCGCGUCUGCUGUGAAAACCCGAGGCUCAACCUCGGGCCUGCAGUGGGUACGGGCAGACUAGAGUGCGGUAGGGGAGAAUGGAAUUCCUGGUGUAGCGGUGGAAUGCGCAGAUAUCAGGAGGAACACCGAUGGCGAAGGCAGUUCUCUGGGCCGUAACUGACGCUGAGGAGCGAAAGCGUGGGGAGCGAACAGGAUUAGAUACCCUGGUAGUCCACGCCGUAAAACGUUGGGCGCUAGAUGUGGGGACCAUUCCACGGUUUCCGUGUCGCAGCUAACGCAUUAAGCGCCCCGCCUGGGGAGUACGGCCGCAAGGCU